rnacentral:rRNA from 1 species
UAGUCCACGCCGUAAACGAUGAUUACUAGUUGUUUGCAAUACACCGUAAGCGACAAAGCGAAAGCAUUAAGUAAUCCACCUGGGGAGUACGUUGGCAACAAUGAAACUCAAAGGAAUUGACGGGGCCCGCACAAGCGGUGGAACAUGUGGUUUAAUUCGAUGAUACGCGAGGAACCUUACCUGGGCUUAAAUGUAGGUUGACAGGGGUAGAGAUACCCUUUUCUUCGGACAAUUUACAAGGUGCUGCAUGGUUGUCGUCAGCUCGUGCCGUGAGGUGUCGGGUUAAGUCCCAUAACGAGCGCAACCCACGUCUUUAGUUACCAGCACGUAAUGGUGGGCACUCUAGAGAGACUGCCGGUGUAAACCGCGAGGAAGGUGUGGAUGACGUCAAAUCAGCACGGCCCUUACGUCCAGGGGCUACACACGUGUUACAAUGGCCGGUACAGAGGGGCAGCUACUAUGCAAAUAGAUGCGAAUCUACGAAAACCGGGUCUCAGUUCGGGAUCGGGAGUCUGCAACUCGACUCCGU